rnacentral:rRNA from 1 species
UACGGGGGGGGGCAAGCGUUACUCGGAAUUACUGGGCGUAAAGCGUGCGUAGGUGGUGAGUUAAGUCUGUCGUGAAAGCCCCGGGCUCAACCUGGGAAUGGCGAUGGAUACUGGCUCGCUAGAGUGCGGUAGAGGAGAGUGGAAUUCCCGGUGUAGCAGUGAAAUGCGUAGAGAUCGGGAGGAACAUCAGUUGCGAAGGCGGCUCUCUGGACCAGCACUGACACUGAGGCACGAAAGCGUGGGGAGCAAACAGG